UGUAAAGAAAAAAAUACACACCGCGGCCACACACGGAGCACGGGCUCUCGCCUCCUCUCCCUCUCGCCCACGAAGCCGCCGCCGCCUGCUUCUCCGGCGAGCUCUGGCGCCGCGCAGCACGCCUACUAGCUCCCCACGGCCCGCUCCUCCCUCCCCUCCUUCCAGAUUCUCCUCUCCUGGCCUCUACCGCCAGCUCGCGACCGACCCCCCAUGGCUAGGGUUUCGGGCAGGGCUUCGCCGGCGCGUCUCCGGCGGCCCCAGGUUCGUCCCUCCUUCCUUCUUGGCCCGCCCCUGUCCCCCGUCUCCCACGAUUCACCUCGCCAUGGUAUUCUCUGGUUAGCCUCAUGGACGGCCUCUUCUCCUUCGAUCUCAAUUCACAGUGGCGUGCCAGACUUUCUCGGGCUCCUGUCCCCUGUGUGAGUACACUGAGCCAGAGGCGGAGGUUGACCAGCAACUCAUGUACGUGUAGGAGGACGCAUCAGAUCAGUCUGGGAAACGGUGGUUUUUGUCCUAGGGCACCAAAUCAAAGAGGGGAAUUGUACUGAUCUUAUCUACGUUUUUAUUUUUUUGUUCUGUACUGGCUAGGUGAUUGAGAAAAUAUCCAUAUGUAGAUUAAUUGAUAGAUUCCAUGGAGAGGAUGGUUCUUUAUUCUUAGAGUAUAUGAAUUGAAGAGUGUUGCUGAAGAUCCUCCUUGUCAUGGACUUUUAUUGUAAGUCAGUAAAAAAAUCUUAAUAUUGGACACUAUUUGUGGCUCAAAGUUUAUGGACUUGCUUCAACUAUCAAUGUUGAACUAUACAUGUACUUAUGUUUAAGGUUACAUUGUGUUCCGGAACUAACACGAGAGGCUUUAUAUAAUUUUUCAUAUUGAAUCACAUCUGUUUGUCACAUCUGGGAUCCUCAUCGUUUUCGUCAUUCAUUUUAUCAGUAUUAUUUUCUGAAUUUGUUUCUUUCAUGGUCAGUUAUUGAAUCCAUCCUAACCAGGUCACUUGGAGCUGGUUCAUUUUUCUCAUCCGUCGUUGAUCCAUGUUCCACCCAAUCGCUGGUCUAUUGUUGUUAUCCUCUCUAGAUUGAUGAUGUUGAAAUUGCUCAAACCACGUAGGCGAGAGAAGCAUAUUUUCACAAAUUUAUUCUAGCAAUUCAGUGUUUGGUUAAACCCGACAUAACAGAUCACUAUGUUAGAGCUAGCUGGGUCUAGCAUAUUCCUGUCAUAGAAGCAACUAAUAUUAUUGGUGAUGCGAUUCUGCAAUCAACGUCUCCACUGGAUAAAUCAAUGCGAACAGCUUGGUCUACCUAUGAUUUUUGCAUGAGUUGCUGCUGCUGCGUUGCCAGCAGCUUAUACAAGGUUACUGAUUUAAUCUUGGUGUGUACUACUCUUGGUUUCUCUAUUCUUCAGUAAAUAGCAUGACAUGGCUUUCACCUUUCAGUACUAUUCAGGCCCCACAUGAAAAUUAGAACUAAAACUAGAACUAGAACUGAUUUAAUUUUUUCUCCCUUUUACAGCCAACUGUAAAUUAGAACUAGAACUAGAGGACUGGAGUAUGUUCAGAGAUAGAAGUUCAGGCCCCACAUGACAAUAGUUCAGGGUCAAGUUUCCAAAUUUGAGCUUUAUAGCAAAGCAAAGAGGAUCAACAGAAGCAGAGUAGGAUAAUAAAGGUUCACAUAGAUGUAGUAAUAUGUCUCUAUCGACUAGCUCAAGUAUGUAUGACUGUAGGAUAAUACAGGUUCACAUAUAUGUAGUAAUCUGUCACUAUCAGCUAGCUCUAAUUGAAAUUUUCUUGGAGCAGUUUCAUUUGCAAAUAGACCAGCUACACGGGCACACACAUACACCCUAAUUGAGAUAUCAUAUUACUUACAUGAUGUGGGUUAUUCAGGUUAUUAUGAGAAAUUAUUUGACUGCUCAUUGUAAGCUGUCAAAUCCAGUGGGUAAACAGAUGGCUAGGCUUCCUUUAGAUCCAAUGUACUCCAAGGCAUUGAUAGUGUCUACCAAAUUCAAGUGUUUGGACGGAAUGUUGAUUGAUGUUAGUAGCUACACUUGUCUGCAAUGAGAUGACGUACAGGAGCAAUAAAGGAUCUGAUGAUGUACUUAUGGGCUACCGAGCAGAACCACAUAUAGCCGUGUCUCCUUUGCUGCAUCAAGGAGCUUCAAGACAGCAGGCUUCACUGCAACAUAUUCAUCUAUGAGUUUCUCCCCAAAUCUGAAAUUAUUUGCCACCUAAAUUUUAAUCCCCCGGAGAAAAUCAGAGUAUUUAUCGGCUAUAGAUGUUGACAAAUUUGAUUGCAGGGGCUAGCAAUGCUUCAUUUCCUACAACUGUUUCUUGUGUUAUUACUUCUACAGUGAGUGACAAGUUUGCAAACUCAUAUAUGCAGAGGUCGGCUGCUAAUGGGUACCAGGUGGCCGGGAUUGAGGAAAUUAUAUUAGGAAAGGAGUGAUCCCUCUAUUUUGUGGUUCAGCGGCAUUCUCUGUUAGAAUAUACAUUAUAUUUGUUUCCUUCUCUAUUUAUAAUUGUAACUGAACCUUUUCUCUCUUAACGAAUUGAAAUCAGGACUGCUGGUUUUUUUUUUCAAAAUGAAUUUGCAUUUUUAGAGUAUUUAAUGCUUUAAAACACUAUAAAAGCUCAUGUUGAGUGUGUAAAUUCCCAUCAUUUUGUUGGAGCUCUGAAAAUUGACAUUUUCUUUCAUUUCCUCGUUCUUAAUUUCCAGAUCUGAACUGUGACCGCUGCUUACCGAUUCUCACAUCCAUUUUUAUUUGUUUUACAAGGCUGCAUCCCUUCUUACAUGGGGAAGCAGAUAACAUGAACGAAUAGAGCAGGCUGCCAACCUCCUCCAAGGAAGAUAACUAUGGUGUGACCUUGGGGAAGAAGGAGCCGGACGGCAAAUGAAAGACUGAGAGGACCAGGGAUUCUUCUUUGCCGGGGUAAGGUGGAGACGCUGCUUAGGGAACAUGUUGCUUACAUCCCCGCUGCUUUUCUUCUUUCAGUUUUAGGUACUUUCCAGCAGGCGUGUACCUAUCUUGCUAUGUACUGAAUUCUUUGCAACUAUGUAGCAAACUGUAUUAGGAUAGAUAAUCAGGAAGAUAUAUAAUGCGUCUGUGUAUGAAUUAAUUAUUACAAUCACCUAGCUAGCUUGUUAGGUGAAAGAUCGAGGCAAACUUAUACUG